AGGACGAACGCUGGCGGCGUGCUUAACACAUGCAAGUCGAGCGGAAAGGCCCUUCGGGGUACUCGAGCGGCGAACGGGUGAGUAACACGUGAGUAAUCUGCCCCUAGCUCUGGGAUAGCUCCGGGAAAACCGGGAUUAAUACCGGAUACAACCACUUUAGACAUCUCUUGUGGUGGAAAGAAUUUCGGCUAAGGAUGAGCUCGCGGCCUAUCAGCUUGUUGGUGGGUAACGGCCUACCAAGGCGACGACGGGUA
rnacentral:rRNA from 1 species